rnacentral:rRNA from 1 species
UACGGAGGGGGCUAGCGUUGUUCGGAAUUACUGGGCGUAAAGCGCACGUAGGCGGCUUUGUAAGUUAGAGGUGAAAGCCCAAGGCUUAACCCUGGAAUUGCCUUUAAGACUGCAUCGCUAGAAUCGUGGAGAGGUGAGUGGAAUUCCGAGUGUAGAGGUGAAAUUCGUAGAUAUUCGGAAGAACACCAGUGGCGAAGGCGACUCACUGGACACGUAUUGACGCUGAGGUGCGAAAGCGUGGGGAGCAAACAGG